rnacentral:rRNA from 1 species
UACGAAGGGGGCUAGCGUUGUUCGGAAUCACUGGGCGUAAAGGGUGCGCAGGCGGGUUCAUAAGUCAGAGGUGAAAGCCUGGGGCUCAACCCCAGAAUUGCCUUUGAGACUGCGUCGCUCGAAUCCGGGAGAGGUGAGUGGAAUUCCGAGUGUAGAGGUGAAAUUCGUAGAUAUUCGGAAGAACACCAGUGGCGAAGGCGGCUCACUGGACCGGCAUUGACGCUGAGGUGCGAAAGCGUGGGGAGCAAACAGG